AGCGAACGCUGGCGGCAGGCCUAACACAUGCAAGUCGAACGAAGUCUUCGGACUUAGUGGCGGACGGGUGAGUAACACGUGGGAACGUGCCUUUAGGUUCGGAAUAACUCAGGGAAACUUGUGCUAAUACCGAAUGUGCCCUUCGGGGGAAAGAUUUAUCGCCUCUAGAGCGGCCCGCGUCUGAUUAGCUAGUUGGUGAGGUAAAGGCUCACCAAGGCGACGAUCAGUAGCUGGUCUGAGAGGAUGAUCAGCCACAUUGGGACUGAGACACGGCCCAAACUCCUACGGGAGGCAGCAGUGGGGAAUCUUGCGCAAUGGGCGAAAGCUUGACGCAGCCAUGCCGCGUGAAUGAUGAAGGUCUUAGGAUUGUAAAAUUCUUUCACCGGGGACGAUAAUGACGGUACCCGGAGAAGAAGCCCCGGCUAACUUCGUGCCAGCAGCCGCCGUAACAC
rnacentral:rRNA from 1 species